AAAACAAAACAGGCUACCUGCUUUAAAAGAAAUUUCUCGAGAAUCUUCACAAGAUGAUAGGAUGGACAAUGUCUUCAGCAGCAUCCCGACAACACAGGCAGUAACAGACGCGUUUGUAAGGGAGUGGCUCAGUGGUAUCGCUUGAUGAAACUGGACACCAUAGCUCCAGAACUCAAUUGCAGAAGAGGGGCAAAGGGGGAAAAGGCAGCACGAUUUAUUAUCUUGUACAUGCCAGGGCAGGCCUUUAAUUUUGUCUUCAUGUUCUACACACAGGAUGGAUUUACCUAAAAUACAAGUGGCACUGUAUAAACAAAAUUCACUUUGGAAGGCUCAGAGUCAUCUCUACAAACCAAAAGAAUAAAAAGUGAAACUGAGGCAGAGGCCUGUGGUUGCCAGUGGGAAAAGCCAUUCCACGGGUAGGAAGACCUCAUAGACAUCGAAGACAAAUGAAAAUCUGAUAAACAAUUCCAGGGGAAAACGUUAUAAAGGUAGACACUCAACA
ensembl:lncRNA novel transcript, antisense to KIF3A